rnacentral:sRNA from 2 species
UAUUCUGCCCCAUGGGGAAGGAUGAGAAGCUUCGACUAAGGUUCGACUCGAGCGAAGCGAGAGAACGUUGCCGCAGGCAACGGCCCGAAGGGCGAGGCGCUUUAGCGCCGAGUAAUUCUUCCCCCACCACUG